rnacentral:rRNA from 2 species
UCAGGCUCAGGAUGAACGCUGGCGGCGUGCCUAAUACAUGCAAGUCGAACGAGUUCUGAUUAUUGAAAGGUGCUUGCAUCUUGAUUUAAUUUUGAACGAGUGGCGGACGGGUGAGUAACACGUGGGUAACCUGCCCUUAAGUGGGGGAUAACAUUUGGAAACAGAUGCUAAUACCGCAUAAAUCCAAGAACCGCAUGGUUCUUGGCUGAAAGAUGGCGUAAGCUAUCGCUUUUGGAUGGACCCGCGGCGUAUUAGCUAGUUGGUGAGGUAACGGCUCACCAAGGCAAUGAUACGUAGCCGAACUGAGAGGUUGAUCGGCCACAUUGGGACUGAGACACGGCCCAAACUCCUACGGGAGGCAGCAGUAGGGAAUCUUCCACAAUGGACGCAAGUCUGAUGGAGCAACGCCGCGUGAGUGAAGAAGGCUUUCGGGUCGUAAAACUCUGUUGUUGGAGAAGAAUGGUCGGCAGAGUAACUGUUGUCGGCGUGACGGUAUCCAACCAGAAAGCCACGGCUAACUACGUGCCAGCAGCCGCGGUAAUACGUAGGUGGCAAGCGUUAUCCGGAUUUAUUGGGCGUAAAGCGAGCGCAGGCGGUUUUUUAAGUCUGAUGUGAAAGCCCUCGGCUUAACCGAGGAAGUGCAUCGGAAACUGGGAAACUUGAGUGCAGAAGAGGACAGCGGAACUCCAUGUGUAGCGGUGAAAUGCGUAGAUAUAUGGAAGAACACCAGUGGCGAAGG